AGCGACGCACUCUCCGCUCACCGCAUCUCCCGAACACACCUCCUUUGCAUGCUCAAUGCUCUCCGAUAGUUUCUCAGAUAUAUUCUGGGAAGGGGAAGGUGUUGCUCUCACAAGUGCCACCAUCCUCCUCAUGCUAAGCCCCCCUCUCCAACUUUGGCAAUUAACAUGCGUGUGAAGCUUAGGGCGCUCUUGCAUGGCCACCGUUGAAGUUGUAGAGAGAGAAACACCAGGUGAUGCUAGUGAAGCCAUAGCUGCUUGCUUGAAUGUUUUCACUUAGACCUUUUGUAUAAAGCCUACAGGGGAAUAAGGUGUAGAGGUAUGGGUUAAUAAAGGGCAAUAGGAGCAUUGGCGUUUUGCAUAUGGCACACCCAAUUCUUAUCACCUCUUGGCCUAUCACAGCCUUACACGUGGACAAAAAAUGUAUCGUUGAAAAUCUUCUCUCUCCACAUUGUGCAGGAGUGCUUGAUUUUUUUUACUCCAUUGCUAGAGAAACUUAAAAGGAUUGGUGUAUAAAUAUCAUCAGACCAAGUGGUUGAGAUUUGCAAACCAAAAGACUUUCCAACCACAAGGAUUUGAAAAAACACCUUCUUUCUGUGUGACAAU
rnacentral:lncRNA from 1 species